CAGGGAUACUGGAGUGAGGGAGGUAGAUAUGUAUAGGGGUAAGGAGACAGGGAUACAGGAGUGAUGGAGGUAGAUAUGUAUAGGGGUAAGGAGACAGGGAUACUGGAGUGAUGGAGGUAGAUAUGUAUAGGGGUAAGGAGACAGGGAUACUGGAGUGAUGGAGGUAGAUAUGUAUAGGGGUAAGGAGACAGGGAUACUGGAGUGAUGGAGGUAGAUAUGUAUAGGGGUAAGGAGACAGGGAUACUGGAGUGAUGGAGGUAGAUAUGUAUAGGGGUAAGGAGACAGGGAUACUGGAGUGAUGGAGGUAGAUAUGUAUAGGGGUAAGGAGACAGGGAUACUGGAGUGAUGGAGGUAGAUAUGUAUAGGGGUAAGGAGACAGGGAUACUGGAGUGAUGGAGGUAGAUAUGUAUAGGGGUAAGGAGACAGGGAUACUGGAGUGAUGGAGGUAGAUAUGUAUAGGGGUAAGGAGACAGGGAUACUGGAGUGAUGGAGGUAGAUAUG